CAGUCGCCGCGGUAAUACGGAGGGUGCAAGCGUUAAUCGGAAUUACUGGGCGUAAAGCGCACGCAGGCGGUUUGUUAAGUCAGAUGUGAAAUCCCCGAGCUUAACUUGGGAACUGCAUUUGAAACUGGCAAGCUAGAGUCUUGUAGAGGGGGGUAUAAUUCCAGGUGUAGCGGUGAAAUGCGUAGAGAUCUGGAGGAAUACCGGUGGCGAAGGCGGCCCCCUGGGCCAAUACUGACGCUCAUGCACGAAAGCGUGGGGAGCAAACAGGAUUAGAUACCCGUGUAGUCCUGUCUCUUAUACA
rnacentral:rRNA from 1 species